GGUUUCUCAGAAAAGGAAAGGAAGGAAUAGCAUAAGGAUAGAACUCCACGGGCGAUUUUACCUGCGAUGCCUUCCGUUCUGACGCAAUGAGACUAAUCGCAGGUGUCACAUCGGAUGUGCCGAAACUAAUGUACAGAAAUAAGUAAAGAGGAAAAUGAGGGGGAAGUAUCAAGAAAGGGUUCAAAAAAGGAACUUGGAUAUUGCAGCUGAUAACAACAUUUCAGAGACACAGGUAUAAGGAGAAAGUAAACUGGAACAAGAUGGCAGCCAAAGGCUACAAAAA